rnacentral:rRNA from 1 species
UCAGGAUGAACGCUAGCUACAGGCUUAACACAUGCAAGUCGUGGGCAGCAUGGUGUUGCUGCAACAACCGAUGGCGACCGGCGCACGGGUGAGUAACGCGUAUCCAACCUGGCCCUUAGUAGGGGAUAGCCCGGCGAAAGUCGGAUUAAUACCCUAUGUUUUCCCAUGAGAGCAUUUGAAAGGGAACAAAGAUUCAUCGCUAGGGGAUGGGGAUGCGUCCGAUUAGCUUGCCGGCGGGGUAACGGCCCACCGGGGCGACGAUCGGUAGGGGUUCUGAGAGGAAGGUCCCCCACAUUGGAACUGAGACACGGUCCAAACUCCUACGGGAGGCAGCAGUGAGGAUAUUGGUCAAUGGGCGAGAGCCUGAACCAGCCAAAAGUAGCGUGAGGGAUGACGGCCCUACGGGUUGUAAACCUCUUUUGUACGGGAAUAAAGUGCGCCACGCGUGGCGUUUUGUAUGUACCGUAAGAAUAAGGACCGGCUAAUUCCGUGCCAGCAGCGGC